GCGGGAAGAGCUCAAAUUUGUAAUCUGGCACUUUCAGUGUCCGAGUUGUAAUCUCGAGAAGUAUUUUCCGCGCCGGACCGCAUACAAGUCUGUUGGAAUACAGCGUCAUAGUGGUGAGAACCCCGUAACUGAUGCGGAUGCCCGGUGCUUUGUGAUAUACUUUCGAAGAGUCGAGUUGUUUGGGAAUGCAGCUCAAAUUGGGUGGUAAAUUCCAUCUAAAGCUAAAUAUUGGAGCAAGACCGAUAGCGAACAAGUACCGUGAGGGAAAGAUGAAAAGCACUUUGGAAAGAGAGUUAACAGUACGUGAAAUUGUUGGAAGGGAAACGCUUGAAGUCAGACUUGCUAUUCGGAGUUCAGCCGCAAGGUGUAUUCUUCGAUUUGCAGGCCAGCAUCAGUUUUUGGGGGUGGAAAAUCGUGGUUUGAAGGUAGCAGUUUCGGCUGUGUUAUAGCUUUCCACUGGAUUCAUCUUCGGGGACUGAGGAACGCAGUACGCUUUUUGCAAGGCUUUCGAGCUUUUCGUACUU
rnacentral:rRNA from 1 species